rnacentral:rRNA from 1 species
UACGUAGGUGGCAAGCAUUGUCCGGAAUUAUUGGGCGUAAAGCGCGCGCAGGCGGUCCCUUAAGUCUGAUGUGAAAGCCCACGGCUCAACCGUGGAGGGUCAUUGAAAACUGGGGGACUUGAGUGCAGAAGAUGAAAGUGGAAUUCCAUGUGUAGCGGUGAAAUGCGUAGAGAUGUGGAGGAACACCAGUGGCGAAGGCGACUUUCUGGUCUGUAACUGACGCUGAGGCGCGAAAGCGUGGGGAGCAAACAG